ACGGCUCAGUAACACGUGGCUAACUUGCCCUCAAGACGGGAACAACCUCGGGAAACUGAGGCUAAUAUCCGAUAGGUGGGGAGGCCUGGAAUGGCCCCUCACCCAAAGGGAACUAGUGGCAUGCUUGCUAGUUUCGCUUGAGGAUAGGGCCGCGUCCGAUCAGGUCGCUGGUGAGGUAACGGCUCACCAGGCCUAUAACCGGUACGGGCCGUGAGAGCGGUAGCCCGGAGAUGGGCACUGAGAUAAGGGCCCAGGCCCUACGGGGCGCAGCAGGCGCGAAAACUCCGCAAUGCGCGAAAGCGUGACGGGGUCACCCCGAGUGCCGUCCGCUGAGGAUGGCUUUUGCCCGGUUUAACUAGCCAGGUGAAUAAGGGGAGGGCAAGUCUGGUGUCAGCCGCCGCGGUAAUACCAGCUCCCCGAGUGGUUGGGACGAUUAUUGGGUCUGAAGCGUCCGUAGCCGGCCGGAAAAGUUCCCCGUUAAAUCUGGCGAUCCAAUCGUUGGGCUGCGGGGAAUACUCUUCGGCUUGGGGGCGAGGGAGGUCGGCGGUAGUCCCGGGGUAGGGGCGAAAUCCUAUAAUCCCGGGAGGACCACCAGUGGCGAAGGCGGCCGACUAAAGCGCGCCCGACGGUGAGGGACGAAAGCUGGGGGAGCGAACGGGAUUAGAUACCCCGGUAGUCCCAGCUGUAAACGAUGCAGGCUAGGUGUUGGGACGGCUACGAGCUGUCCCAGUGCCGCAGGGAAGCCAUUAAGCCUGCCACCUGGGAAGUACGGCCGCAAGGCUGAAUUCUCACGGAAAAUUUAUCGCGAAAAAUCACGCGACGUGAGGCAGUUCACUUAAAGGAAUUGGCGGGGGAGCAC
rnacentral:rRNA from 1 species